GCCGGGUGUGGCGGCACGUGCCUGUAGUCCCAGCUACUCCAGAGGCUGAGGUGGGAGGAUCACUUGAGCCCAGGAGUUCUGGGCUGUAGUGCGCUACGCCAGUCAGGUAUCCACACUAAGUUUGGCAUCAAUAUGAUGACCUUCCGGGAGUGGGGACCACCAGGUUGUCUAAGGAGGGUUGAUCUGGCCCAGGUUGGAAACGGAGCAGGUCAAAACUCUGUGCUGAUCAGUAGUGGGAUUGCACCUUUGAAUAGCCACGGCACUCUAGCCUGGGCAACAUAGCGAGACCCCGUCUCU
rnacentral:SRP_RNA from 1 species